UCACACGCCUCCUUCUUCCUCCCACUCUUCCUUGAGAGCCAAAAACCCAUCCUUCUCAAAAUACAAGCUUGCAUGACUAAUUUCUUCAUUAUAAUAAUAAUUCCUUUAACCAAGAAACAAGAAAGAUUAAACAUUAGUUCUUUUCCCCUAUUCUCUGAACCGAACAACAACACACAAAACUCCAAAAGAUCCCAAAUCACUAAUCUCACAAUUUCUCCAUUUAUUAGAAAUGCAUGUACGAAAUGCUUCUUAUAUUCAAGCUUUGAAGUGUUGGAAAUUAAAGUAAGACACUAAAUCCUUUUCCUUUCCCUUGAAAUUGGUCAUAUCUUUCGUUAUCAACAUCUAAGAAGAAACUUCAAGUUUCACUAAGUUGAUUGUGUUGAGUUGCAUGUGAAUAUUGGUGAGUCAAGGACUGUUGGGUACUAAAGUAGAAGGUUAAGGCCAAAGAAAAGAAAGUACCAGCCAACAUUAUUGAUGGAAUACUUUGAAAGUCAGAACUUGGAGUUGGUUGGACAAGGAAAUCUAGGUAUGGGAUUAAUUUCCUUCUUUCCCUUUUCAAUCACAAUGAACCCCCUUUCUAGUAUUCAACCUAAAUUCUAGAUAUUACUCCAUUAUAUGAGAUUGAGGGCUGCGUGUGGGUUUCAGUAGCCAAGAGACCAUGGGUGCGAGAAUUCCAAGUUUUGGGGAAGAUUAUGUGAUUUUCGUGACUAAGGAUAUGCCUUCACUAAAACGAUUCAUGAAUUAUAGAGCAGUAAUGAAUUCGGGAGACCAGUUUGAAGUUGAGGAUCUGAUAUGGAAAUUAUGCUGAAAUUCUGUUAUGUAUUUAUAGUACUUCGCUACAAUUCUAUUUUUUUCGGCGAGCUCCAAAGAUGUCGUUAGCACUGUGUUUAAAGCUUCUGAGUUAAUCUCAUUCAGGUAAACAGGUUAACCGGAGCAAGGACCAGGAAGGAACUGAUGAUCGAGGUUGAGUUUGGAUUAUCGGAUUAGAAGACUAUCGUCUUCUUCUUUGUUUUUAUGUUAAUCUGUUAAGUUAGAAUUUAAUUCUCUUCCGCUAUAUUGUACCAGAUUAUCACGUUAUUCAUGUGAUAUCUUGUUAUUCAAUUAACUUAUUCUGUAAUUUUAAUGUACUCAGAUUCAAUUAUUAAUAUCUCGACUAAAUAUUCUAGACAAUUUAGUUGGGGUGUUUCAAAUAUUGUUCAAUAAGUUGAAUGUGUAACAUUUUCAACUUAGCAGAAAAGCUAUUUUUAUUCACCGAUGACGGCGAGACGGCGAAGCACGUGCGUGGAUAAAAGAUUAGGGAAGAUAGACAGGGCCAAUGGCAGGACCGGUGGCUGAACCGGCAGCGAGUGAAAGAGGAAGAAGUAGAAUCGGCGGAGAGUGAAAGGGAUGAUUGUUGUUACUGUUGAUGA